rnacentral:rRNA from 1 species
CUUCCCAGAUGGGAUUAGCUAGUAGGUGGGGUAACGGCUCACCUAGGCGACGAUCCCUAGCUGGUCUGAGAGGAUGACCAGCCACACUGGAACUGAGACACGGUCCAGACUCCUACGGGAGGCAGCAGUGGGGAAUAUUGCACAAUGGGCGCAAGCCUGAUGCAGCCAUGCCGCGUGUAUGAAGAAGGCCUUCGGGUUGUAAAGUACUUUCAGUGGGGAGGAAGGCGAAGAAGUUAAUAACUUCUUCGAUUGACGUUACCCGCAGAAGAAGCACCGGCUAACUCCGUGCCAGCAGCCGCGGUAAUACGGAGGGUGCAAGCGUUAAUCGGAAUUACUGGGCGUAAAGCGCACGCAGGCGGUCUGUCAAGUCGGAUGUGAAAUCCCCGGGCUCAACCUGGGAACUGCAUUCGAAACUGGCAGGCUAGAGUCUUGUAGAGGGGGGUAGAAUUCCAGGUGUAGCGGUGAAAUGCGUAGAGAUCUGGAGGAAUACCGGUGGCGAAAGGCGGCCCU